UAGUCCACGCCGUAAACGAUGUUCACUCGCUGUUUGCGAUACACAGCAAGCGGCUGAGCGAAAGCAUUAAGUGAACCACCUGGGGAGUACGCCCGCAAGGGUGAAACUCAAAGGAAUUGACGGGGGCCCGCACAAGCGGUGGAACAUGUGGUUUAAUUCGAUGAUACGCGAGGAACCUUACCUGGGCUUAAAUGUAGAUUGCAUAAGUUGGAAACAGCUUUUCCCUUCGGGGCUAUUUACAAGGUGCUGCAUGGUUGUCGUCAGCUCGUGCCGUGAGGUGUCGGGUUAAGUCCCAUAACGAGCGCAACCCCUACCGUUAGUUGCCAUCGGGUAAUGCCGGGGACUCUAGCGGGACUGCCACCGUAAGGUCGAGAGGAAGUGGGGAUGACGUCAAAUCAGCACGGCCCUUAUGUCCAGGGCUACACACGUGUUACAAUGGCCGGUACAAAGGGCAGCUACUGCGCGAGCAGGUGCGAAUCCUAAGCCGUCCAGUUCGGAUUGGAGUCUGCAACCG
rnacentral:rRNA from 1 species